rnacentral:tRNA from 1 species
CCCUCGUUAGUAUAGUGGUCAGUAUCCCCGCCUGUCACGCGGAGGAGACCAGGGUUCAAUUCCCCGACGGGGAG